UUGUCCUACGGGACGCAGCAGUGAGGAAUAUUGGUCAAUGGGCGGGAGCCUGAACCAGCCAAGUCGCGUGAGGGGAGACGGUCCUAUGGAUUGUAAACCUCUUUUGUCGGGGAGCAAAGAGAUCACGUGUGGUCAAAAGCGAGAGUACCCGAAGAAAAAGCAUCGGCUAACUCCGUGCCAGCAGCCGCGGUAAUACGGAGGAUGCGAGCGUUAUCCGGAUUUAUUGGGUUUAAAGGGUGCGUAGGCGGGACGUUAAGUCAGCGGUAAAAAUGCGGAGCUCAACUCCGUCGAGCCGUUGAAACUGC
rnacentral:rRNA from 1 species